CUCACCAGCUGCCCUUCUCACCGGCUGCUCAAGAAAAUAAGUUCAGAGAUUCAUAAUCUACUCUCAGCAAACGUAUAUUCACCAUUUAGAAGGCCUUCUCCCAUCUUAAUUCUUAUGUGUUCCUAGCUUCAUUUAACUAUAGCUAUCAUUAAACUUACAUUUCCAUAUUAAGACACCUUGAGUUAAACCUAGCAAAGUCCUCAUUGGCACCUGCCUUUAUAACAAUGUUUGUCUCUCGUACACAUACACACAUACAUAUAGAUACAUAUAUACCAUCGUCUUCUUGGAACUCUGUGGCUUUGAACAAUUUACCUGGGAUAGAACUUUUCUCACCCGUGCACUGAGAAACUUGGAACUGUGUGAUCUCUAAGCUCCCUUUCGGCUCUGUAUCCUUAGGAUUUGACCCUGUUUUGUCACUGCUUCUCCUUUAGUUGAUCCAGAGUCCAAGCCCCCUCCUCACCUUUUGGGGUGAGGAUUUCAAUAUAUGGAGGCAACUGCCCGGAAUUCUCUGCCGGUGUCACAGAGGGUAAGGAAAGCCCAGAAACAGCUGCUGUUUGGGAGCUUGAGAAAGAAACUGGCCAUAGAGGUGAUCGAAUAUUCAUCAUAGAAAAGAAUGGAAAAAGGCCAUUUGCAGCAACAUGGAUGGACCGAGAGAUUAUCAUAUUAAGUGACUUAAAUCAGAAAAAGACAAGUAUCAUACGGUGUCACAUGUGGAAUCUAAAAAAAUAAUACAAAUGAACUUAUUUACAAAACAGAAACAGACUCUUACACAUAAAAAACAAACUUACGCUUACCAAAGGGGAAACACUGGGGUUGGAGAAUGGAUAAACUAGAUGUUUGGAACUAGCAUAUACACACGAUUACAUAUAAAACAUACUCAACAAGGACCUACUGUAUAGUAUAGGGAACUCUGCUCAACAUUCUGUAAUAACCUAUAUGGGAAAAGAACCUGAAAAAGAAUGGCUAUAGGUAUAAUGGAAUCACUUACUGUGCACCUGAAACUAACUAACAUUGUCAAUCAACUAUGCUCCAAUAUAAAAUAAAGACUAAAAAAUAUCACAGACUAGGUAGCUUGUAAACAACACAAAUUUCUUUCUCACAAUUCUGGAGGCUGGAAGUCCAAGAUGAGGGUGCAGAUAUGAGGGUGAGAAACUUCCUUGUGGUUGCAGACUUCUUGUAUCCUCACCUGGCAGAGAGUUCUUUUAUUAGAGCACUAAGCCCUUUCAUGGGAGAAGGCGAUGGCACCCCACUCCAGUACUCUUGCCUGGAGAAUCCUAUGGGCAGAGGAGCCUGGUAGGCUGCAGUCCAUGGGGUCGAGAAGAGUCGGACACGACUGAGCCACUUCACUUUCACUUUUCACUUUCAUGCACUGGAGAAGGAAAUGGCAACCCACUCCAGUGUUCUUGCCUGGAGAACCCCAGGGGCGGUGGAGCCUGGUGGGCUGCCAUCCGUGGGGUCGCACAGAGUCGGACACAACUGAAGCGACGUAGCAGCAGCAGCAGCAAGCCCUUUCAUGAGGGCCCCACCAUCAGGACAUAAUCACCCCCCAAAGGCUCCACCCAUUGGUGGUUCAGAACUGUUUCACCAGGACUAUGCACUUAACAAUGAAGAGUUCUUUACAGCUCAAGGAAAACUGCCACAGCCCUGUCCUGCUUGUCUGCUUCCCAGUCUCCCAAGUUCCUGUUUUACGAGUAAGAUCCAUGUAAGUUUUUUCAAACUUGAUCCAUUUUCCUUCUGAAAUUAACUCCUCUGAAAUAACCGACUUGUAUUUUGGGAAGAAUCUGUUCGUUCUUGGCUUUCCAUUUUCAAAUGAGUUGAUCUUCAUAGUCUUUAGACAGGAAGUUCACAUCUAAGAUGUGGAAUGGAGGGGUUCACCUUUGGGAAGAGGGUGAAAAGUAGAGAAGAUGAAGGUAGCAGUUUCAGGAGAUGCGAUGCUACUGCUUUUAGAGCUUAGGUGGUUGUGAGAAUUACGCUUGAGAAUACAGAGUGCAUGGUUCAUUCAUCUGAAAUCCUGGACAGACAAUAAUGGGUCAUCAUCUCCCAGCAGAUAUGAUCACCUCUCCCAGGCAGCCUUUAGCCUCAGUGUCUUUCUUUGGCCACCUCUGGAAGCACCAGGCCAACUGAUAUUUGCAUAGACUCGCACAGCUCUCAGAUGAACUCAUCUUUCAUUCAUUAUAGUAAGAGAAUCAGGAGCUGGGAGAAACUCAGGCCUUUUCAACUGUACAGCUGGGGAAUUACAACUACCAAUAGAACGCCAGCACCAUGAGGGCAAGGAUUUUCGUCUGCUUGCUCACCGCCAUCAUCCCAGGGCCCAGACGGUGCUGAGCACCUAGCAGGAUGGAAGUAAGAUGGCUCAGAAUAUCCCAGCCUUACAACUACAGACCACAGUAUCUGGAGGGAAAAUGAGAUCUUUUCUCAAUGCAGAUCUCAGGAAUAAGGCUGUGCCAGGCAGCGUGCAGGAUCUUAAUUCCCUGACCAGGGAUUGAACCUGUGCCCCUGGAGUGGAAGUUUGGAGGCCUAACCACUGGACCACCAGGGAUGUCCCUCGACUGCCUUUUAAUUCAGUUAAUUCAGUCACUUUGCAGUUCAUUUUUUGCUUCGUAUUUAAGUGUUUUGGUGGUCAGACCACAUUUCUGCUAAGAGUUCAUGGCUUGUUUUCAGGAGAAAAUGGCUAAAAGUUCAAUAUAAUUGUAUGCAUUUGAGGUCUAUGAAUAACUGUGAUAAAAUGUUCAGAAAGUAAAAAUGCUGCCUUCCACUCAAAAUUAAAUGGAGUUGACACAGCUGGUUUGUUUGAUUUGGGGGUGGGCAAAUGGGGUUGUGCUAGAUUGUAUAUUUCAGUUAUCAGAUUUCUCUAGAAAAACGACUGGAUUUCUAAAUGAGUUUCCUGAGAAAAUGACUAAGUGUGUGAAUAACACUAAAAUAAGUUUCCUGUACAUUGCGAAAUGGAUAUUGAAGGGGAGAAAGGGCUCAGUGUGUCAUAGUUGUUUGGAAAUUGUUUUAGCAUGGAAAUGGGUACCAUAGAACAUGCCAUUUUAUUAUUUGACAAAGUAGUUACUGGUUUCUGCCAUCAAGAAAAAAGACAAAAAGGGAUCUAAAGUAAGUAGAGCUAAUAUCCCUGUUCUCCAGUCCUUGUAUUUUUAUGAGGAAAUCUUGGCUUCUGACAAGGUCUGAUCAGAACUGCACAACUAAAUCUGUUUUCCCAUUUUGUAACUGUGGGCGGUAUAAAGGGUUUCAAGCAGAGGAAUGACUUGCUCAGAUGUGCAUAC
ensembl:lncRNA